UGAGGGGCAGUACAUUUCACUGACAAAAAAUUGAUAUUUUUUACCCCAACAAAUUAGGUUGCUGAGGUUACUCUGAUGCAAGGGGUAUAAUAUACUCACUCUACCUAUAAAUAAGGAGUAGGACUUAGUACUGGUGAGAAAUGACUAAACUAUACCUAAUUUGCAUUCAUACGCUAUAACUAAUACUAAUGGCUAGUGUCGAAACUACCUAUAAAUGACUAAACUUUACCCAAUUUACAUUCCAACACUGUAACUAAUACUAUUGGCUAGUAUGAUCCAAACCGUCUCUGUCAAAACUACCUAUUGAAAUUGGUUAAGGCCCGCAAUGCGCAUUGCUUUCUGGGACUUCAUUGGAAGAAGAAUCAACCGACGACUGUGGCGAGUCUCGCAGCGGAUGAAGUUAACUUCCAAUGGACGGGACAAAUUCAGAAGGCAGUGGUGUUGCAUCUUUUAUAUGCAUGGUUGUCCUGAAGUCAUUCUGGAACAGGGGUUGUGUUCAGGUGCGUGACAACUGACAACAUUGAGAAGACCCAGGAGCGGGAGAAGGGCAGCCUGAUGAAAGAAGACGACAGUGUUCUGUGGCCACACCUGAGAUGAUGGUCCUGAAGAGGAACGAGAGGAGAUACUGGGCAUAUAAAUACAGGCACUGGGCAUCACAGUGGAGGACAAUCAUGAAAAGGUUGAAGACUUCACUGUGCCCAUCCCUGAAGUCCCUCCACUCGGUGCAGCAGCUCUUUCCACCAUACUGCCAUGCUCUGGGUUGUCCCUGCCACCAUCCACCUUUUGGGUCAUCCGUGCCGCCAGCCAUCACCGUGCCUGCAGCGCCUGGGUCAUCCGUGCCACUCCCCACCAUGCUGCCAGCCAUCACUGUGCCUGCAGCACCUGGGUCAUCCCUGCCACCAUCCACCGUGCCUUCAACGUCCACAGCACCUCCGGUCUCUGUGAGCCAGUUUGCAGCUCUACUGACCUCUCCAGUAUACAGUAUGCUGUAAUUGCUAAUGGUUUCUCUGAGUGGCCUGACCGGUUAAUUGUCCCGUAUCCCAACUAGAGGUGCUCCGAUUGCUCGGCUGCCGAUCAUGACCGGCCGAUAAUGGCCAAAAAUAGCCUGAUCGGUGAUCGGAAAAACAUGCCGAUCAAAAAACCGAUCGAGAGAUAUUAAAUUCCUCAUGCAACCAUUUGCCUUUACACCUGGCGCUGCAUGUAGGCGCUGGCUCUGCACAGCUGCAACUGCACCAAAAGAAGGCAUCUUUGCUUGUCUAUAACUUUUCGCCAUUCCCCCCUUCAUUUCCACCAUUCAUAACCAUAUCUGCAUCAACAAUGAUCUGAUUUUCCGAUCCAUGCGCCGUUUACCUGAGUGACAAUGUAAUUUGCGAUUGAGUACUCGCCAGUGAGCCAUGUUACGUUAUAACCUGUGUAGUUGCCUUGGUCAGCACGCGACAACUUCACGUUGUCAGCACAAACAUGUCAAUUAUUGUUUUCAAAGUUGUAAUUGGCAGUCAGUCGAUUAGUUUGAUAGUCGCUGAAACACCAAACGGCGACAGAUGUGGUUAAAACUUGAGAGAGAGAUUCAGAACGGUAGUGGAGCACUGCAACUGUGGACGGUGACAGAGAGGGGAGGGGCUCUCCUCACGAGGCUGCUCAUUUAAAGCGACAGGUUGUUUUUUUCUCGUAUGUGGAAGACUAUUUGAUGUAAUGUUUCAGUUUCAAUUCAAUCUUAAAUAGUUUAGUUAUUCUAUGCAAUAACUUAUACAUUGAUUAAUACUGUAGACUGUAUUACCAACACUAGUCUGAAAGAUAAUAAUAAUAAUAAUAAUAAUAAUAAUAAUAAUAAUAGCCUAAUAAUAGACAUGUGCAAAUUAAGAUUGAUUGGUUUAUGGGCAGAAAUGGUAUUCAAUAAGGAUAAUUAAUAGGCUAUUAAAAAAAUAGGAAAUCAUUUUUGUGAUCGGCAAUGAUCGGUAAUCGGCAGAUAAAGAUUUUUGGUGAUCGGUAUCGGUGAUCGGACCCAAAAAAUGGUGAUCGGAGCACCUCUAAUCCCAACUAUUUACCACUAAACAAGUGAUUUUGUAAUAAGUAGGAGAUCUUUGCAAUGUUAUCAGUAUGGUUGGACUCUGAUGUUUCACUGCUGUAUGUCUUCCUCAAAGAGUAAACCGAAUUCUGAGUAUUCUUGGAUUUAGUCUUUGAAAAGUAGAGCAGCCCGUUUGUUUGAAACUGUUGUCCUGGACACCAAAUAGACUGGAACUGAUAUCCUUUUUUAAAAGAAACUGGUAUCCUUUUUAUGUGUGCAGUUUAAUGGUAGAACAGUAUACACUGAUGUGCCUUUAUCAGUAACAAAGUGAAAACGGAACAAAAUUUGACUAUUUCUGUCAAAAACUGCUACAAAUUCUACAUAUUGUUUAUAUAAACCUAGUUCUGGAGGAAGUCUGAGAGUUAUUGACAGUUGCCAUGUCAAGCUUCCGCCUUCGCGUAAAUUUAAAUCCCACCUUCCCUCCUUCCCCUGUCAUGCGCAAAGGCUAUCCUAAUUGUCCCAGUACCUCCCCCUACUCCCUCAUCUCACUGGAUCACCCAGCUACAUGUCCCCUACACUUAUGGUGUGGAAGCGGAUCUCGUGCCGCAUGAUCUCCGCAGGGUCCCAGGACAGAGGCCAGCUAACAUCGAAUUAUGCCUAUUGACCAUGGUUACCAUACUCCAGGGCAAACUCGUGAAUUAAAUGGUCCUGUUGUUAAUGUUUGUUUACUUUUUGUGAGAUAAACUGAAACAUUGAGUAUCUGCUAAUUUUUCACAUUUUCCUGUUGGUGAUAUCCCUUUAAAUAAAACAUCUUGGUUGAUAUGCACAGGUUUGUUGUAAUUGUAAUUUCCCUGGUGGACGUUUGCACAACACAGUAGAGGCAGAAAACACUGAUUGUUAAAAAGUAACUUUUUAGUUUUUCUCAAAGUUUAUUUUAAUUUUAAAUGAUAUACUUUUUAUUUUUACCUAAGUAGAU